UAUUUUUCCAAGAGCUGAAACAGCCGCAUCAUGGGCUGCUAAGUAAUCUGGACGUAGUGUCUCUGGACGCAGCAUGAUAGAAUUUAGGCCACCAAGAGCCUCUUUCAUGUGAGAUUUGAAAAUUGAUCCACCGAACUCUGCACUAACACCAAUACCCUGUGCAACUAUCUGUAAAACUUCUGGUUUCCUCUCAUAGCAGGCAUCAAAUAGGAAU
rnacentral:misc_RNA from 1 species